AAGAAGAAGAAGAAGAUGAAGAAGAUGAAGAUGAAUUGGAGGGAAGGGGUCGUAUAUUGGCGGUUGAUCGAGGUGAGGGGGAUCGCGCAGUAGUUAGCAUCUCCUACCCAUAUGCCUUUACAGUAGAGGGCCACCAGAUAGAGUGCUAUUUUUGUACAACCUGCUUGUACUGGCGAGGGUCUGGAUUGUUUUCGUAUACUUUCCUUUGUAGUUGAGGUUUGUUUGGUGAUAUUCGUGUUGUACGGCAACUUAGUUGAGAAAUAGCGCUCUGAUACAUGUCAUUUGUUUAUUC